ensembl:lncRNA
GAGAGAUCUGGGUAUCGACUCUGACGUUCCCUAUUCACUUUUCAGAUGUAGCGCAACAGCAGAAGACUACGGAACAAUUGUUCGGACUAACUUUGAUCGAAAACCACUAAAUGAAUGUCUUAUAUUGCUAUAUUUUUUAAGAUGUGUGGGUUUUAUUUCGACUUCGACGAUAUUGUUAUCGGAAUUUUUUUUCGGUUCAAGCGAAGUUAUUAGCAGUUGAAAGCAAAGCUCGCGAAUAGCCUAUAGUAAUAGUCUAGCCGAUAACUAAAUGGGAUAAUCUCAUCUUGUGGUUCAAUUAUAAUUUAAAGCUGAUUUCAAGGAGAAUGAGUAGAGAUUUACUUGGAUUUUUUUCGUCCAGGAGACGGAGCAGGCAUGGAAUUCCAAUUGCUGCAUGCGCUAGUCUGGAAAAUGGAAGUCCCCGCCUCCGUAUGCAGAGCGUGUGUCAUUGCUGUGACUGGAUCCGACACCACUACGGUCACUUGAGCGUUCAGGGGCGAAGCUUCGGGGCGUGCCCAAGGACUGUGAUAGCACAGCCCCAACACCAGCCUCGGACGCGUCCACCUCCACUAUGAAUGCCAAAGAGGGGUCAGGAUGCGCCAAUACGUGAGCAUCGGUAAACAACGCCUUCAGACGACCAAACGCCCAGUCCGCCGACCACCGCAAGCGCACAGGUCCCCCCUUCACCAGUGAGGUAUCGGGAGCAGCCACCUAACCAAAACCCCGGAUAAACCUCUGGUAGUAAUUGGCAAACCCUAAAAACCGCUGCACCUCCUUUACUGUGGUCGGAGUCAGCCUAUUACGCACGGCCGCAAUGCGAUGAGUGGUAGCGGUUACCUGAACCCCACUGUGAGGGAAUUUAGACCUCUGUAGUCUAUACACGGACGCAGACCUCAAGCCUUCUUCUUCACAAAAAAAGAAACUCAAGGAGGCGGGUGAAGUGGAGGGCCGAAUGUACCCCUGUCCCAGAGAUUCGGUGACAUAUGUCUCCAUAGCCACCGUCUCAUCCUGUGACAGGGGAUACACGUGACUCCUGGGAAGUGCGGCGUUCAUCUGGAGGUUUAUCGCACAAUCCCCUCGUCGAUGAUAUGUUAAUUGGGUCGACCUCUUUUCACAGUUAGCGAUAGCCAAAUCGGCAUAUUCGGGGGAAUGCGCAUGGUGGAGACUUGGUCCGGACUCUCCACCGUCAUCACACCGAUGAAAACUCCCACACACCUACCUGAGCACUCCUAUAACCAUCCCUCAUGGGCCCCCUGUUUCCACAAAAUUUUAGGAUUGUGAUAAGCCAACCAGGGAAUCCCCAGCACCGCUGGAAACGCAGGAGAAUCAACGAGGAAGAGACUAAUCCGCUCCUCAUGACCCCCCUUCGUCACCAUGUCCAGUGGAACCGUGGCCUCCCUGACCAGAGCCCUGACCCUAAUGGUAGACUAUCUAGAGCGUGCACGGGGAAGGGUUGGUCCAUCUGAACCAAGGGAAUCCCUAACUUAAGCGCAAACCCACGGUCCAUAAAACCUCCCGCUGCGCCUGAAUCUACUAGCGCCUUAUGCUGGAAAUGAGGGGAAAACUCAAGAAAGGAAAUCAACACAUACAAAUGACAAACAGGGAGCACUGGGUGAGCCUGGUGCUGACUCACCUGAGGUGUCCGAGCAGUGCUCUGCCUGGCCUCUUGACUCCCAGACAAGCUCCUCCAACACCGGUCAGAAGUUUGCCCUCUCCGACAACAACUGGUGCAGGAGGAGAUGUCACGCUCUGACCGUAGAUUGCUUUGUAUGUUUCUAUUUUUAGUUUGGUCAGGGUGUGAUGUGGGUGGGUAUUCUAUGUUGUAGGUCUAGGUUUUCUUUUUCUAUGUGUUUGGCCUGGUAUGGUUCUCAAUCAGAGGCAGCUGUCUAUCGUUGUCUCUGAUUGAGAACAAUACUUAGGUAGCCUGUUUUCCCAUUUUGAUUUGUGGGUGAUUAUUUUCUGUUUCAGUGUUUUCACCAUACGGGACUGUUUCGGUUUUCCUUUAUUAUUUUGUUUGUUUGUAUUCAGUGUUCAGUUUAUUAAAGGCAUCAUGAACACGUACUACGCUGCGCUUUGGUCUACUCCUUCUUCCACCAACGACAACCGUUACAGGAGGCUCCUCCUCCAGUCGCCCUAGCUGCAUCACCCCCUAACU